GUAAGGAAUAUUGGACAAUGGACGCAAGUCUGAUCCAGCCAUGCCGCGUGAAGGAUUAAGGUCCUCUGGAUUGUAAACUUCUUUUAUAAGGGACGAAAAAAGGCUUUUCUAAGUCGUCUGACGGUACCUUAUGAAUAAGCACCGGCUAACUCCGUGCCAGCAGCCGCGGUAAUACGGAGGGUGCAAGCGUUAUCCGGAUUCACUGGGUGUAAAGGGUGCGUAGGCGGGCAGGUAAGUCAGUGGUGAAAUCCUAGAGCUUAACUCUAGAACUGCCAUUGAUACUAUCUGUCUUGAAUAUUGUGGAGGUAAGCGGAAUAUGUCAUGUAGCGGUGAAAUGCUUAGAUAUGACAUAGAACACCUAUUGCGAAGGCAGCUUACUACGCAUAUAUUGACGCUGAGGCACGAAAGCGUGGGGAUCAAACAGGAUUAGAAACCCUGGUAGUCC
rnacentral:rRNA from 1 species